rnacentral:misc_RNA from 1 species
UGAUCUUCUUCGUUUUCUUCGCUGGUGGAGGAGGAGAACAGGAUUCGGCGUAGUUCUCGGAUUCUGAUGAAACCUUUCCGCCUGAAUUCGUUGGCGAUAUGAGUUGCGGUGGUCGGGGAAUGAAAGAUGGCGGUCGAGGCCGCUUGCUGCGAGCGCGGACUCGUCUACCGGCCGCGGUGGGUAGGGCCUUUUUUUCGUCAGAGCUGGAGCUGCUGCUGCUACUGCUGCUGCUG